GGUGGCCUAGUGGUUAGAGCGUCAGCCUCGGAUGUGGUCGGCUAGGGUUCGAUCCCCGGCUUAGUCA